GACGAAGGAUGCAAGCGUUAUCCGGAUUCAUUGGGUUUAAAGGGUGCGUAGGCGGCCUAAUAAGUCAGUGGUGAAAGCCUGUUGCUUAACAACAGAACUGCCAUUGAUACUGUUGGGCUUGAGUACAGAUGCUGUGGGCGGAAUAUGACAUGUAGUGGUGAAAUACAUAGAGAUGUCAUAGAACACCGAUUGCGAAGGCAGCUCACAAAAACUGUAACUGACGCUGAGGCACGAAAGUGCGGGGAUCAAACAGG
rnacentral:rRNA from 1 species